rnacentral:rRNA from 1 species
UACGUAGGGGGCAAGCGUUGUCCGGAUUUAUUGGGCGUAAAGAGCGUGUAGGCGGCCUUACAGGUCAGCUGUGAAAACUCGAGGCUCAACCUCGAGAGGUCGGUUGAAACCGUAAGGCUAGAGUCCGGAAGAGGAGAGUGGAAUUCCCGGUGUAGCGGUGAAAUGCGCAGAUAUCGGGAAGAACACCCGUGGCGAAGGCGGCUCUCUGGGACGGUACUAGACGCUGAG